UCUUUCUCUCUGGGAGGGGGUCCGGUGAAGGCAACUUGAAGAAAUCUAAAGACAUAGAAUUAGUCCCUGUGGUGGGAUCAGGAAAGGGGGCAAGGCCCAGGGAGGCAGCCCUGUAGGUUGGUAUGCCAGGGGAGGAACAAGGAGCUGGUGGGAAUCUCUGAAGAAGCCCAAGGUCUGGGAACCAGAGCAGAGGCUUUAUGAACCACAAGCUACUGGGAAACAGCACAAGGGGCUUGGAGUUUGGAAGUGAAGUGGUUUAUGGAAGCAGUGGCAUGUCUAAAGGCACAGACCUAGCUGCUUAAUGCAAGGUUUAUGGGCCAGGAUCCAGAGGAGAAGUUGAGUCUGUGUUCCCCUACCAGCCCCAAGGAAGGGACAUAAAAGCCCCUACACAAGGACUAUGGGAUACAGGGUGGGGCUGAAGACUGUGCCUUCAGGAUGGAUGGAGGAAGAGCCCAAGUGGGAUGAAAAAAUCUCUUGGUUGGAUUUUUGUUAUUCUGGAAGACGGCUGAACUUAAAAAAUGGCCAGAGGGCCAGGCUAUGGAAGUUGUGGACAGAAACAAGGCAAUGUGGAUGGAAAGUGGUGGCCAAUAGGAGCUGCUGGAGGUGAAGGCCCCAAUAACAUCCUUCUGUGACACCAGAAGGCACUAGGGUGGUAAUUACUGAAGCAUGAAGUUAAAUUGGUGAUUCAUUAUUGUGACCAGGAGAAAUGGAGUUAAUCAGUCAUAAAGUCACAGGGGCAAAGAGAAAUUUUCUGCCUAAGAUGGAAAAGGCAGGGGAGGCUAAGAAACUGUCUCCAUCACUCCACACUGACUCCGACAUUCUAGUCUUCAGAGUGAGACACAGAGCAACAAUCCUGGAAUGAUAGUAUGUCAUAGACUAAAGAAGAAAGUAUUGGGACACUGGUUACAACUUCCUAGAUCCAAGUUCAACUCCCAUCUCUACCAGACUUCCUGUGAGAACAGCACCAUUGUUAGCCCCCUGGGGGCCCUAAACAAGAAUACUGGUGGGGGGUGGGGAGAGCUCACAAUACUAAAACAGGUGCAUUCCUAUAUUAAAGAGCUGCUCAGGGCCCUAAACAAUUACUUAGUCAUCUUAUGCCUAGCGCCAGCUCUUAGAGUAUGGGCAAGUAUUUUGAAUCCUCUGUGCCUCAGUCCUCUAUCUGUACAACGGGACCAAUACUACUUUAUUUGCCCUUCUUGUCUAGAUAGAUACUUCAUGGAUACAAUUAACAACUACUUCCUGUGCAUUAUAGAAUAUAUCCUAACCUGUGUAGGGACAUAUGCAUCAUUAUGGAUACUGUGUAUGUAUGUAUAUGCAUGAUAGUAAAAAGUUCAUCGAAUUUGGAAGUCAGUUGAUUAAAUUUGGCUGGCAUGAAGUUCUGAUUCUAAAUAGGUGGAGAGAUAGAGAAUAUAAAAUUAUAUUGCAUUCAUAAUAUUUAAAAUAUCAGAAAAAGAGAAAUAGUUUCAGUAGGUUCAAAACAACAAUGCUAAGUAUGCUGCACAAAUACCUGCAGCCUCAAAAUGUCAAGUGACAAAUUAUUUCAUAAAUGAAUAUUUAAGUCAAGUAGUAAUUGAGUUGAUUUUUCCUAAAAAUGAUAAUUGAAGUGCUUUAUUCUUUUUUUACU